GAUGAACGCUGGCGGCGUGCUUAACACAUGCAAGUCGAACGAGAAAGCACCUUCGGGUGUGAGUAGAGUGGCGAACGGGUGAGUAACACGUGAGCAACCUGCCUCUCACUUCGGAAUAACUCAGGGAAACCUGUGCUAAUACCGGAUACUCCGUACAUUCCGCAUGCUAUGUACGGGAAAGCCUUGUGCGGUGAGAGAUGGGCUCGCGGCCCAUUAGGUAGUUGGUGGGGUAACGGCCUACCAAGCCGACGAUGGGUAGCCGGGUUGAGAGACCGACCGGCCACAUUGGGACUGAGACACGGCCCAGACUCCUACGGGAGGCAGCAGUGGGGAAUUUUGCGCAAUGGGGGAAACCCUGACGCAGCAACGCCGCGUGCGGGAUGAAGGCCUUCGGGUUGUAAACCGCUUUCAGUAGGGAAGAAAAUGACGGUACCUACAGAAGAAGC
rnacentral:rRNA from 1 species